ACGUUUCUUUUUUUUUCUUCUUGACUGUCCUUUUGCUGUAGUAAACCUGUUCACAAAUAUUUCUCUAUCUCAACCUUUUCUCCAUCUGUAUAUAAGGGGUUUAAAAGAAAAACUUAAUUUGACAUUGGUUUUUCUUUAGAUCAGUGAAGAUAGACAAGCAUAUAUAUAUAAAAGAUGCAAACAGCCGAAAGAAAGUUCAAAAGUCUCCCAAAUCUGAUAAGGUUUUUUUCUAUUGUUCUUGUGUUGUUUUAAGAGUUUUUUCAAGUUGAUUAUAUUUCUUAUUUUUUUUUUCUUGCAUGUUUUUUUUUGUUAGUCUUAUUUUAUAGUUUUCUGUUUGUUGCAAACAGCCAAAAGAAAGUUCAAAAGUCUCCCAAAUCUAAUAAGGUUUUUUUCUAUUGAUCUUGUGUUGUUUUAAGAGUUUUUUUCAAGUUGAUUAUAUUUCUUAUUUUUUUUUUCUUGCAUGUUUUUUUUUGUUAGUCUUAUUUUAUAGUUUUAUGUUUGUUUGACUCUGUGUCUUGUUGUUGUUUUGGUUUUAUUUUGUUAACUCUUAGGGAAAGAGUAAAUACCAAGUGAAGAUUGUUCAAUCAACUGAUCUGUUCGAAGACAUAAUUAGGAAAAGGGUUGUCGAGAUUUUAUAGUUUUUUCCUAGUGUUUCUAUGAUUCUGGUGUUGAUUUGUCCGUCCCCAACCACGAAGGAGGUGCCGUUUGUGCUUUAUUACUGUUAACAGUAUAAAAGUAAAUAUUUUAGGUCUGGACAGUAUGAAAGAAAAAAAAAAGGGCUUGGACAGUAAAAAAGAAAUUAUUGCCGUGUGGCAGUAUUAUUGUAAAACUUUGGGAAAAAACAGUAUUUUUGUAAGUUUCCCUUUGAAUAACUGUACUAGGUUAAUUAAAUUAGUUUAACCUAAUAAAAUUGAUUAGCAACAUAAUUAAUUCCAUUUAUUUUGAAAUUAAUUUAAGAAAACCAUAGUUUAA